ACUUUCGUAGUGUAAUGGUAACACACUCGGCGCGUAAUCGAGAGACCCAGGUUGGAUUCCGGGCGAGGGCA
rnacentral:tRNA from 1 species